UACAGAGGGUGCUAGCGUUGUUCGGAAUCAUUGGGCGUAAAGGGCGUGUAGGCGGUUUGCUAAGUCAUGUGUGAAAUCCCUCGGCUUAACCGGGGAACGACGCAUGAAACUGGCAAGCUAGAGUACCAAAGAGGGGGGUGGAAUUCCCGGUGUAGCGGUGAAAUGCGUAGAUAUCGGGCGGAACACCAGCGGCGAAGGCGGCAUCCUGGCCCUUACCUGACGCUGAGGCGCGAGAGCGUGGGGAGCAAACCGG
rnacentral:rRNA from 1 species